rnacentral:rRNA from 1 species
GGUCAAGUUAUUAAGGGUGCAGGGCGGAUGCCUUGGCACUAGGAGCCGAUGAAGGACGUGAUAAGCUGCGAUAAGCUUCGGGGAGUUGCACGUAAACUUUGAUCCGAAGAUUUCCGAAUGAGGAAACUCACUUAGAGUAAUGUCUAAGUAUCAUUAAGUGAAUACAUAGCUUAAUGAGGGGAACUCAGGGAACUGAAACAUCUAAGUACCUGAAGGAAGAGAAAGAAAUUCGAUUCCGUAAGUAGCGGCGAGCGAACGCGGAUUAGCCCAAACCAAUAAAGUUUUCUUUAUUGGGGUUGCGGACAUAUCAUAACGAAGAGGUAUCGUAAUUGAAGAGGUUUGGAAAGACCCACCACAGAAGGUAAUAGUCCUGUAUGUUAAACGAGAAGACUUCAGAUAUGAUCCAGAGUACCACGGGACACGUGAAACCCUGUGGGAAGCAGGAGGGACCACCCUCCAAGGCUAAAUACUACCUAGUGACCGAUAGCGUAUAGUACCGUGAGGGAAAGGUGAAAAGAACCCCGGGAGGGGAGUGAAAUAGAACCUGAAACCCUGCACUUACAAGCUGUGGAAGCACAUUUCUUGUGUGACCGCGUACUUUUUGUAGAACGGGCCAACGAGUUACGUUAAGUAGCAAGGUUAAGCACUUAAGGUGUGGAGCCGUAGCGAAAGCGAGUUUUAACUGAGCGUUCAGUUACUUGACGUAGACCCGAAACCGGGCGACCUACCCAUGAGCAGGAUGAAGCGAAAGUAAAAUUUCGUGGAGGUCCGAACCCACGAGCGUUGAAAAGCUCGGGGAUGACUUGUGGGUAGCGGUGAAAUUCCAAUCGAGCCCGGAGAUAGCUGGUUCUCCCCGAAAUAGCUUUAGGGCUAGCCUCAAGGUGAGAGAUACGGAGGUAGAGCACUGAAUGUCCUAGGGGGUAUUGCACCUACCGAAGACUAUCAAACUCCGAAUGCCGUCAUCUUAUACUUGGGAGUCAGACUGUGGGUGAUAAGAUUCAUAGUCGAAAGGGCAACAGCCCAGAUCGUCAGCUAAGGUCCCUAAAUGUAAGUUAAGUGGUAAAGGAUGUGGGAUUGCACAGACAACCAGGAUGUUGGCUUAGAAGCAGCCACUCAUUCAAAGAGUGCGUAAUAGCUCACUGGUCGAGUGAUCCUGCGCCGAAGAUUUCCGGGGCUAAAACUUACUACCGAAGCUACGGCAUCAGUAAUGAUGGGUAGGGGAGCUUCCCAUACGGGUUGAAGCAUGACCGUAAGGACAUGUGGACAGUAUGGGAGUGAGAAUGUUGGCAUGAGUAGCGAGAUGUGGGUGAGAAUCCCACAGGCCGUAAACCCAAGGUUUCCAGGGGAAGGUUCGUCCGCCCUGGGUUAGUCGGGACCUAAGCUGAGGCCGAAAGGCGUAGGUGAUGGACAACAGGUUGAUAUUCCUGUACUACCGAUAACCGUUUGAGAGAAGGGAUGACACAGUAGGAUAAGCUAAGCACACUGUUGGUUAUGUGUGCCCAAGCAUUGAGGCAGUCAAAGUAGGCAAAUCCGCUUUGAUAAUGCUGGGAUGUGAUGGGGAGCGAAAUUUAGUAGCGAAGUAGCUGAUUUCACACUGUCAAGAAAAGUCUCUAUCGAGGUUAAAGGUACCCGUACCGCAAACCGACACAGGUGGGUGAGGAGAGUAUCCUAAGGCCAGCGAGAGAACUGUUGUUAAGGAACUCGGCAAAAUGACCCCGUAACUUAGGGAUAAGGGGUGCCACCAUCAGGUGGCCGCAGAGA